UACGUAGGUGGCAAGCGUUAUCCGGAAUUAUUGGGCGUAAAGCGCGCGCAGGUGGUUUCUUAAGUCUGAUGUGAAAGCCCACGGCUCAACCGUGGAGGGUCAUUGGAAACUGGGAGACUUGAGUGCAGAAGAGGAAAGUGGAAUUCCAUGGUGUAGCGGUGAAAUGCGUAGAGAUAUGGAGGAACACCAGUGGCGAAGGCGACUUUCUGGUCUGUAACUGACACUGAGGCGCGAAAGCGUGGGGAGCAAACAGG
rnacentral:rRNA from 1 species